UACAGAGGUCUCAAGCGUUGUUCGGAUUCAUUGGGCGUAAAGGGUGCGUAGGUGGCGUCGUAAGUCGGGUGUGAAAUUUCGGAGCUUAACUCCGAAACUGCAUUCGAUACUGCGGUGCUUGAGGACUGGAGAGGAGACUGGAAUUUACGGUGUAGCGGUGAAAUGCGUAGAUAUCGUAAGGAAGCCCAGUGGCGAAGGCGGGUCUCUGGACAGUUCCUGACGCUGAGGCACGAAGGCCAGGGGAGCAAACGGG
rnacentral:rRNA from 1 species